UGCCUGCACUGCAAUGAGCUUUGCAUCAAUCUCUGCCACACCUCGGGAUGUAGGAACCAUGAGUACCUGUCUUUGCAGCUGGGGACACAGGCUCCACAGUUGCACGGCUAUACCAGGUCAUGGAACCUUUCAGGUGCCACCACCAGCAGGCAAUGCUCCCUUCUGGGGGCAGAGCACGGGGCUCCCUGGCUGGGCUCAGACUCGGUGCUGGGCCUACCUCUCCCUGGGGCUUCACUACCCCAGCCCCAGCUAGUCCUGGCAGCAGCAGAGAGCUGGGAGCUGGCCUCCAACCCCUCCCCUUACUCCAGCUGGGUACUUACUUCCUGGGUCCCGCCUGCCCCCAGUCCAGGUGUGGGCUGGGAUGGUGUGGGGGGCGGCGAGGUGGGCAGGGCAGGAGGCUGGACACCACUUCUCUGGCUUUUCUUGAGAAAGGGCCCCUCCGGCCACACCUUCCUGGGCCGCUAUCAGAAGCCAAACAGAGCCGAGGAGUGUCAACGCCUCAGGCCUCCACCUGGCAGCUGGUGCCCGUGGGCUGGGGGCCAGGCGGGAACACCGCAGACCCCUCUGAGCCCAGAGCUCUGUGCUAUUUUUAACACCACUGGGAGAAGUUGGGCAAAUAGUGUGGGCCCGUCCCCGCAGCCCUGUGACCUCCACCCCUGUGUUUGCACUCUCACUGGGCAAACAGGCAGUGAUAAGGCAGAGAUUAGAGGGAUCGUUCAGCUCCCAAUAAACAGCUUCUUCUCCCCCAGCGUGGAAUUCCCAGCACCAGACCCCAGGCUGGCAGCUGCAAGGGCUGAGAAUGCAGGCGCCCCAGCCCUGCCCCCGCCCCUGCCCCGCCCUGCCCCGACCCAGCAAGGCUCUGGCUUCCCGGUCCGAGGCAUCUCCAGCACCCCAGGGCACUCUACCAGCCCAGGAUCCCCUGCCGCCCCCGCAGUCCCACCCCGCAGGUGGGCAUCUGCCUUAUGGUGUUGGGGUUUGUCUCCAGCAAGGGCCGACCAGGUUGGGGUUGGAUGGACGUGGUUGGAGCUCGGCCACUGUGCACCUGCUGUCUGCUUUGCCGUCGCUGCCCCAUCCAGCCUGGCUCUCCAUCUUUUGGUGCUGUCUAGGAAGAGACGAGGUGGCAGAGGGGACGUGCCGGCACACAGCAGGCACUUGGCAAGCCGGCGACCUGGCCUCCUCGCCCCACACUGGCCAGACUGGCUCCCUCAGCUGCCCCCUGGCCUGCGCCUGGCCUCCCUCCUGCACCCGCUCCAGCUGGCCCGAGUCCCCUUGAAAGUGCAGGACCAGGAGGGGACACGGUAG
rnacentral:lncRNA from 1 species